rnacentral:rRNA from 1 species
GCAAGUCUGGUGCCAGCAGCCGCGGUAAUUCCAGCUCAAUAGCGUAUAUUAAAGUUGUGCAGUUAAAAAGCUCGUAGUUGAAUUUCGGGAUCAGUAUUGUCGGUCGUGCCUCGGUACUGUACUGGUGUUAUUGGAUCCUCACCUUCUGAAGAACCGCUGUAUGUCAUAAUUUGGUGUCGCGGGAAUCAUGACGUU